GACGAACGCUGGCGGCGUGCUUAACACAUGCAAGUCGAACGGAAAGGCCCUGCUUGCAGGGUACUCGAGUGGCGAACGGGUGAGUAACACGUGGGUGAUCUGCCCUGCACUUCGGGAUAAGCCUGGGAAACUGGGUCUAAUACCGGAUAGGAGCCAUUUUUAGUGUGAUGGUUGGAAAGUUUUUUCGGUGUAGGAUGAGCUCGCGUCCUAUCAGCUUGUUGGUGGGGUAAUGGCCUACCAAGGCGGCGACGGGUAGCCGGCCUGAGAGGGUGGACGGCCACAUUGGGACUGAGAUACGGCCCAGACUCCUACGGGAGGCAGCAGUGGGGAAUAUUGCACAAUGGGCGCAAGCCUGAUGCAGCGACGCCGCGUGGGGGAUGACGGCCUUCGGGUUGUAAACUCCUUUCGCUAGGGACGAAGCUUUUUGUGACGGUACCUAGAUAAGAAGCACCGGCUAACUACGUG
rnacentral:rRNA from 1 species